UCCUAUUGUCAUGGAUGGGACUGGGGGU
rnacentral:piRNA from 1 species